UAAUAAUAGUAAAAGUAGAGUAAAAGUGUCACUUUCCAGGAGCAGAUAGGUAUUGUUUCUCAGAGAAAUAGGAAAUAGUAAAAAUAAAAGAGUAAGGAUAUAUGUGUAUGUUGUCGACCGCGCUUUUGGGGAUCGGGCCCUUAAGGAGAGUCCCGAUCCGGUCCUGAGAGAACGGACCUUGGCGGAGCCAAUAGGAAAAUAUGAGCCGCAAUACAACCUGAAGCCGAAAUGAAGAAGGUCCGCCAAAGUUGAAGGAAAAUCCGCCAAGGAGUCUUUAUUGAGCGAUUCAGCUGAAAAGGACUCUAGUAGUGAUCAUUCAGUCUACUAGGGUACCAUAUAUCAAAAAUAAAGCCAUAUUUAUACAGUGUUUCAGUCUGACAGCCCCUUGAAUUUCCCGCCCCGCUCCCCCGCCCAUCUGAUCGCGGAUAGGCUAGAGGGUUGAACGAGGCGGGCUUUCGUUUCCCGCCUUGCUCUGCUGGCCCAAUAGGGAGCUGCUUUUUGUCCCCACUCGAGCCAAUCAGGGAGGAGAAGGCGGGAGUUAUUGAAACAAUGAAGUGACUGAGCAGGAAAGAUCGGAUUAAUUCCUGCCCGGCCGAAUUCUAAAGGGAUUAAUGACAGCAAUCAAGGGUUCCUGUCACGUAUACAGAUUUCAGAUAUGCCUUGGGGUGUCAGAGGUGGAAGUAGGGAUGGGUGGUGAUGGGCUCAGCAGGGCGCCUUCCUGAGGUGUCCUGGAUUUCCUUUUGGAGGAGAUAUGACAAUGUUUGCCUUGAGGGCGAAUCACCUUUAGGUCAAUACUCCGAAUUUGGCGACUCAAGCCCUAUAUUGUCCAUGCAAUCUGAAUUUGAUUGGGUUAAGCUGUGGCAGAUUAUCCUUUUGUUUUUGGGAAGGGAAGCCUGGGUCAUAGGAUCUGGGGUUCAUGUUGAGUUCAAAAUAUUUCCUAUUUGAUUUCAUGAUUUGACAAUUAUAUGAAAUAAAAUGAAAAAUAAAAUAAAGUUGGAAUAUAAACCCAGCUGGGAAAAAUACAUAUUUUCCGGGGAUCCCAAAGAGUACAAAUACAUAUAGGCAGAUAGAUGGAUUUCAAGGAAAUAAGGGAGAAUCCAUAGAGGUGGGUUACAUUGCAUAAAGGGGAAUCAUGAAUGAUAUAAACAAUUGAAAACAUUUGAUAAGAACGAAGUUCACAACAUCUGGGGAACCCAAUAUGGAAAUUCAUAGAAGUGGAGUUCUAGCAGCAUGAUCUCACAAUUCAUGAAGUUAGCCCAACGAUUAGAAAUUCAUACAACAGUGAUUCAUGAGGGUGUCCAGGUACAUAGAAUAUGAAAAUUCACGGAUACAUGAGGAAAAGAGUUCAUCUGUGGUGGAAGGAAUUCAUAGAGAUGGCAUGGGGAAGAGGCACAUGUGGGUUGCAGUCUUUGGAAGUAUAAGAUUUCAUAAGUUCAGGGAUAGGUCUGGGGAAGAGUGUUCUUCUCCUUCAUAAAAUUAUGAAGGUAUGAAUGAAACGUGGAGGGCGCCCGUCCAGGCACCCUCCUGGCAGCUGUAGAGAGGGUGAAGGUCCUUGGAGAACUAUGUCUCCCCAACGGGAGAGCGAUCCCCCCAUCCCCAGUUCACAGAAAGGGACCAGGGAUCUCCUAAAACCAUCCCGCGGGUCGCGGGGAGAGGAAAGUCCGGGAUAAGGCUGGAAGAGAGCAGUCUGGCUUGAAAGGAGCAGUCGGUUCCGUUUGACAGUCAGCUGAUGAGGUGCCGAGAACUGGACCGAUUUUGGUUCCGCUGGUGGUCCUUGAGUCAGGAGCCUUAGGAAGGGUUAGUACUAAAAGAGGAGUGUGCUAGGGGUAGUUUUGAUAAAGAUAUGAGCCAAUUUGUAUCGCCCGCCGUAUUAAUCUAUGGCGGAGGAGCCUCAGCCAGAGUUAAAGGGACGGACGGGUUAGAUAGAGAGAGAGAUUGCGUGCAAAAGAAGGAGUCAGGGAAAGACACAAAAUAACCAGGUAGAGAGUGUUACUGUUAAAAAUGAAUGCUACUUUUAUUGGGGGAUUUGUUACAUAGUUCAGGGAAGGGGAAAGUGAAGAAAAAAAAGGUCUUUUAACAAUAGUCUGCUGCGGUCCCGCUCCGUUCCUUAGGUGAUGGAUCUGCGGAACUCUCCGCUGCGGGUUCAAAUCAAUUUGAAAGCUGGGGCCUCGGUCAUCAUGUGCAUGAGCAUACGUUUAUGUGCAAAAGAAAAUAAUUAAGGAGGCAACUAAUAGUAUAAAUAUUUUCUUUUAAUAUGAAACAUCAAUAGAUCUUAACAAACUGAAAAUUAUUUAAAAAUACAAAAAGAGGAAAUAACCCAAUGAAAUCUCUAACAAUACUAAUAAGUAGUACAAUAAAAUUAAAUUGAAAAGAAAAAGAAAAAAUUGAAGAGAAAAUUUUAUUAAAAGCACAAUGCAAAGAUAUUUAGAUAGGCAAAUAUAAAAAAAAAAGGUUGUGAGAAAAAGUAUAAAGAAAAAUUAAAGAAGAGAGCAAUAAUAACCACAAUAAUAAUGGAAAUAGAUACAGAAAAUCAAAAUAUGCUAAAGUCAUUGAAUACAAAAAGAACUUUAAUUUUCCCAAAAAACACUGCCCAGAAAAUCAUUGGAUCAGUAACAAGAUGCAUAAUAUCAACUAUAAAAUUAAUUACUGAAUAUGAAUAAUUUAGGAUUUUGAAAAUUCUAAUACUAAUGUUAUAAGGUAAAAAAGCUAUAAAAUGCUGAAUUAUACUAUUAAAAAUGUUAAUAAGUGUAUUCCAUCAAACUUCAGAUUCCAAACUCCAAAAACCAAGAAUCACAAAAAAGGGGAGGGGAGUUAAGGAAAGCAUAAGGACCAUCCGGCUUGGGCAGCUUCAGGACUGACACGAAGAAGGUCAUCCUCUGAGACAACUUGGUGAGGAUUCAAGAGCAAGAGUGGGAAAGGCAAACCAGUUGAUUUUGUUGUCACACAUCUCUCACAUGCCCAGCGUAGGCAUCACAAUAUAGGCAGCAGUACCUACUGUGGGAGCAGCACUCCCCAACUGUGAUAAGGAACAGUCAACUCUCUGUAGGUAGGUCACCUUGAAUCCCACAAAGCCAAUGACAAAGACCAGGAGUGACAGUAUCUGUGCUGAAUCCAACAUUGCCUUGGGGGCCUCAACUAAGCUAGGGAGGCAAGUGGCAGUUGGUGGUGCUUCCGAUGACCUUAAAAGGCCAGGCACACUCUCAGAGACGGUAGGAGUCCCCUGAGUGGCAUGAAGUGGUGAUGUGUCCAAGAUUUCACCCUCCGUUGGCAUCAUGGAAAGGGCUGGAGUCACUGUUUUGCGAAGCUAAUCCCUGUGCUUCUUUUCACGGUGCUAUUUGCAAGAAUGGUCCGCAGUCACCAAUUCCACCAAUCUGCCUGGUGUUGUGUGUUCCUUCACCAUGACGUCAGCCUUGAGGGUCUUGGCCUUCUUGGCCUGGAUGGAAGUGGGCUCCUGAAAUGAGCGUUUGACGGCUUUCCGAAUGGUUGAAGUGGAUGGUGCCUGCAAGGUGGAAGUUGACGCCAUCGAGGCUGGGGCUGAGGAAGGCUUCGGACUUGAGGCCAAAGCCAAAGGAGUUGGUGAGGCCGUUCUCAAGGAUGACUUAGACUCAGUCCGGGGUAUUGCAACUAACUUGGAGGCUGCUGUUGAGGCCAAGACGCUCUUCGCCAACAGCGAAGGCUUGGAAGUUGCAGGCUUGGCAGUAGUCAGAUGGGCUGAGCUCAAGGAAGGCUUCAAUGCUGAUACAGAAUCAGACUUCACUUUGGAUGGCCCUGAUGCUUUUGACACCAAUUUUGUGGGCAUCAAGGUCACAGGAAACAAGGCGUCUACAUACAGAUAGGAUAUGAGGAGGUACUUCCGAUCCCGUCUCUCCUUCGGGGAGAACGCCCGGCAAUGAGCACAGGCCUGCACGAUAUGCCCCUCACCAAGACAAAUGAGGCACUUCUUAUGACCAUCUUUUUCCAGUAUCUUCCUUCCGCACUUGACACAACACUUGAAGGAUGAUGUUGAAGACAUUUUGAGAACAAACAGCAAGCCAAAGAGCACAGGAAAAGAGUAGAGAAACCGUAAAGCAAGCCAGUUCAAAUCAAAGACGAUAGAAGGCCUAACCGAAUCCUGAAUCGAAAGAAACGGUCGGCUUGGUGGCAGUUGGCCCUUUAUACGAGCAGAAAGAAUUCUAGAAGUUUCUGAAAGUUCUGCGUAUGAGACCCAUGUAUGUGAUUUUGUGGUAUGUGAUACCACAAAAAGGGUACAUAAUGUCCCGUGAUGAAUUAGACCAGGUAAUGUGUUAGAUAUGAAUUAAGAGAAAGACUUUGGAAUCAACCAUUACUAGAUUCCACCUUUGACCAGGCUUAAUGUUCUAUAUAUAUUGGGAUGAUCCACACCUAGAAGUCUAGGUCUACACUUCUCCAAACCCUUGAAGGCUGCACACACCUUCUGUGUCCCCUAUUCCCAUGCCCUGGGUACAAUUGGCACUUUGGGCCAAAAACUGGAGGCACGGCACUUGCCUAUGGCAAAGCCUGAGAGCUGCAGACAGGCAGCAUUUGUCCUACUCCUGCUCUACAAUCAUUAGCAGCAGCUGUACUAUUUCAGAACAUGGUUGUUGCAUUUUCUUGCCAGAAAUGCCAAAGAUUCAGCCUGGCAACCUCUGUAUGAAAAACAUGUGAAUACCUUUGAGUUCUAGUUUUGUAUUUUUUUCAGGCCGAUCAAUAGUACACAUUGGUGGGAUAUGAAUGGUGGGUGGACCUGUGUAGAAGGCUAUGUUUAAAUAAGUAAUUAAUAACGGGAAGAGGUUUUUGUCCCCAUGUUAUAUUUUUAGUCUUCCUUGUCCCUCUUAUUGAAGCCUGUCUCUUGGUUGGGAAAUAUAGCUAUGCUAAAGAUCCAUCUCAUCCUUCUUGAACUGACACCACCCUGUGGAUUUUUUUGGGAUGUCCAAGUUUGAUGACAGAAUUAAAAUUCUUUGUCAGAGAACCCUAUUGUUCCUUCCUGAACUAUAGCAAUAAAUUCCUGGUAUUUCCGAAAUUUACAAAGAAAUGGUAAUACACAGUGUACUUCAUAACAUGCUUUGUGGAUCUGGGCUGUAAAUGCUUAUUCUUAAAGCAAAUUUGCAAUCAUCAAAGUGAAAAUAGCAAAUUGGGCUUUUAAUCAAAAGAAGUCUAUCCAUAACUUGAAUUUAAAAUGUUCUAUUUUCAAUUUAAUUUGAAAAACAUGUAUAAACUUUAAUAGGUCAAUGGACGAACUCAACAGAUAAACAGCUUAGAAGAUAUUCGACAGUCCCUGGAGGAUUUUGGUGUAACUCUGCAUGUAUCAUAUUCUUCUUCAAUAUAUGACCGAGAGAUUAGAUGCAACAAUGGAUGAUUAAAACGGGAACAGACUUUGAUUAUUUUAAGAAACCACAGGACCGUUUUUGCCUUGGAUACUAUGACCUUGAUUUGAGACGGUGUCAUGAAACUACUGCGGAUAUCUUUUAUAUUAAGCCUAUGAAGAAAAUAAUUCUUACUCUUUUUGUAAGCUAUUUUGUCUACUGUGCACUUUUGUAAAUAAAUUCAACUUUUUGUUAUUUUUUAAAA